rnacentral:rRNA from 2 species
GAAACCAACAGGGAUUGCCCCAGUAACGGCGAGUGAAGCGGCAACAGCUCAAAUUUGAAAUCUGGCCCCUAGGGUCCGAGUUGUAAUUUGUAGAGGAUGCUUUUGGUGAGGUGCCGCCCGAGUUCCCUGGAACGGGACGCCGCAGAGGGUGAGAGCCCCGUCUGGCUGGCCACCGAGCCUCUGUAAAGCUCCUUCGACGAGUCGAGUAGUUUGGGAAUGCUGCUCAAAAUGGGAGGUAUAUGUCUUCUAAAGCUAAAUAUUGGCCAGAGACCGAUAGCGCACAAGUAGAGUGAUCGAAAGAUGAAAAGCACCUUGAAAAGAGGGUUAAACAGUACGUGAAAUUGUUGAAAGGGAAGCGCUUGUGACCAGACUUGGGCGCGGCGGAUCAUCCGGGGUUCUCCCCGGUGCACUUCGCCGUGUUCAGGCCAGCAUCAGUUCGGCGCGGGGGAAAAAGGCUUCGGGAACGUGGCUCCUCCGGGAGUGUUAUAGCCCGUUGCAUAAUACCCUGCGCUGGACUGAGGACCGCGCAUCUGCAAGGAUGCUGGCGUAAUGGUCACCAGCGACCCGUCUUGAAACACGGACCAAGGAGUCGUCUUCGUAUGCGAGUGUUCGGGUGUCAAACCCCUACGCGUAAUGAAAGUGAACGCAGGUGAGAGCUUCGGCGCAUCAUCGACCGAUCCUGAUGUUCUCGGAUGGAUUUGAGUAAGAGCAUACGGGGCCGGACCCGAAAGAAGGUGAACUAUGCCUGUAUAGGGUGAAGCCAGAGGAAACUCUGGUGGAGGCUCGCAGCGGUUCUGACGUGCAAAUCGAUCGUCAAAUAUGGGCAUGGGGGCGAAAGACUAAUCGAAC